GAGAUAUUAGCUCAGUUGGUAUAGAGCUUUACACUUUUAAUGUAAAAGGCGAGGGUUCAAAUCCCUCAUAUCUCA
rnacentral:tRNA from 1 species